GAUCUGGCUCAGAUUGAACGCUGGCGGCAUGCCUUACACAUGCAAGUCGAACGGCAGCAUGGAGAGCUUGCUCUCUGAUGGCGAGUGGCGAACGGGUGAGUAAUACAUCGGAACGUGUCCGUUUGUGGGGACAACCGUCGAAAGGAUGGCUAAUACCGCAUAAGACCUGAGGGUGAAAGCCGGGGACCGCAAAGGGCCCCGGCGCAGACGGAGCGGCCGAUGAUUGAUUAG
rnacentral:rRNA from 1 species